GAAGAACCGCCCUCGAGCGUUAGUGACGAGCAUCUUCUUGUCAUCAGGAGAUAACACAGGUACUUUGGCCUAAAUAUCUCACCAAGCGUGCGNUGCCGUCGCCAGNUUUAGGAUGUUAAAUAAGCCACCUGGGCUUCAACUUACCCAUGCCGAUGCGAGUCCGGUCGNGUUCAACUAUCGAUAAGCGGAUUGCUAACGUCGUUUCAAUUCGGGCAUAUUUACGUGGGCGCUGUAACACGCCGUGCCGACAUGGCCGUGUUUUCUAGUAAUAGUCGUGACUGCUGCAAAAUCUCCCAGGAGCGUCACACCAUAGGUGAUACCUCGUCACUUUGGCAAGACCUUGUUAAAGUGCCUAAGAGGCUGGUUGUCUAAGACGUGAGGUGCGUUAUGACAAUCUCUCANCUGUUUGCUCACGCACAGCUUGAAACAAUUGCCGUUCAGGAUUCACUGGUUNGAGCAUGUGCAAACUUACGCAAGAACUUGUGGCCGGACACGUAGCAAAGCGACCCCACGCUAGAGGGGAAUGAAACCAACGUUGGCCGUGCCUUCGAUUGGGCAACUGGAAAAAAGGCUGUUUGGGGUAGAUGCUAAAAAGCGAA
rnacentral:rRNA from 1 species